GACAGAGGAUGCAAGCGUUAUCCGGAAUGAUUGGGCGUAAAGCGUCUGUAGGUGGCUUUUAAGUCCGCCGUCAAAUCCCAGGGCGUCAACCCUGGACAGGCGGUGGAAACUACCAAGCUGGAGUACGGUAGGGCAGAGGAAUUUCCGGUGGAGCGGUGAAAUGCGUAGAGAUCGGAAAGAACACCAACGGCGAAAGCACUCUGCUGGCCGACACUGACACUGAGAGACGAAAGCUAGGUAGCAAUGG
rnacentral:rRNA from 1 species